rnacentral:rRNA from 1 species
UACGGAGGGGACUAGCGUUGUUCGGAAUUACUGGGCGUAAAGCGCACGUAGGCGGAUUUGUAAGUCAGGGGUGAAAUCCCGGGGCUCAACCUCGGAACUGCCUUUGAUACUGCAAAUCUCGAGUCCGGAAGAGGUGAGUGGAAUUCCUAGUGUAGAGGUGAAAUUCGUAGAUAUUAGGAAGAACACCAGUGGCGAAGGCGGCUGACUGGUCCGGUUCUGACGCUGAGGCGCGAAAGCGUGGGGAGCAAACAGG